ensembl:lncRNA
UUCCACCUCGAGCAGUGAGGCGGGCAAAAAGGAGGCAUGUCUGCCUUCGUCCACCUUUUGUUGUAUUCAGGCCUCAAUGGAUUGGAUAAUGCCCACGCACCUGGGGAGGGCAAUCUUCCUUACUGCGGCCACCUCCUCAAAUGCCAACCUCCUCCCGCAACACCCUCCCAGACACAAGCAGAAGCCAUGUUUAAUCUGAGCAUCCCGUGGCCAGUCAAGGUCACAUAGAAAAGCCACCACUGUGGUGGGUAGGGCAACACCGUGGACUAUGGCAUGACACUGUUCCCACACCUUCGCCGCCUCCCCACCCCCACCACGCCGAAAAUGACUUUUUCUGUGGGCAGGAUAGGGUUCGCGUUAUUGUGUCCUUCCCAGAGGCACUGUCCACUCUGAGCGUGCAGUCCAUCGAGCCUCAUCCCGUGGCUAUGUGGUCCACCAACCAAGGGAGAGUGCAGUAACCGUCUUGCCAAGAUUGCGAGUGCCAACUUGGGGUCCUUCACACUGUGCCCAGCAAGUACUCCGCGAUCCCAGAGAUGGCAGGAUUCCCCUGAAUCGCCGCUCGGAGGUUUCUUCAUGUCCAUGUCGAAGAGCAAAGGGAAAUUCACAUCGACCGCUGGGGAUGGGAGGAGUGAAGCAUGGAAGGCUUCCUGGAAGAGGAUGGCACGGAGCUAGGCUUGAAGAGCCUGAGUGAUCAAGAUUUCCAAAGUCUGAGAAGACGGGAAACUAAGGAAAAGAUACGUGAAAAGCCUCGAAGCAGAGCUAGGCGUUGAGGGAUGGACAUAGAAGAAGAAAGAAAGAACAAGAAGAGCCAAGAUUUCAGUCAAUAAGCAGAGCCUUGGGACAUGAGCGGGGUUUGCGCUCUUGGAGCUGGAGCGAGUGGCCAGUCUCCCUGUCAAUCGUCGCAGACCCGCCAAUGACGACGUGUGAAGGCGGGGCCAAAGGAACGCUGUCCAGGGAAGCGAAACGCUUGACCGGGCUCUUUAAAAUGUGGAUUGUGCAGCGCGGCUUCCGUGGACCGUUUCCCUCCAGGAUGGGGGAACAUGGCGGCUCCGUCUCCUGCUGUCCCCAAAGUAACAGCUGAAAUCCUGGAAGAGGAGGAGGGAGGCAUCAGGAGGUAUGAAGGAGAGAGCAGCUCUGCACCAGCUUGUUGCUGCUCAUAUCUGCUUGUCAGAGAACCUAAGUAGCCACUGUGCCUCACCUGAUGGAAGACAAAGCAGUAUCAAAGGUUUUCAUCCUAGAAGCAGGGAGCCCAUAAGGCUUUGGCACCUGCAGGAAGCCACCCUGAUUGCAGGGCUUCUGGCACUUUCCAGCCUACUGCUACAUAUAAAUCAUCGAUAAACAUGAGAUUGCAAUUAAGAAGAAACAAAGCACUUUGAAUGAGAGACAGCAGAAGAAAAACAGCCCAAUCAAACCUGAAAGGGCCUCAGAUAUUGAAAAUGUGCGUUAGUCUGAGAAAGGAAUGUACUGCUCCACUCAUUUUGCAGACCUAGAAUGUAAAACUGAUAUCUUGCAUAUGUUUAAAGAAAUAAGAGAAUACUGGAAACAUGAACAAGGAAUAAAGGGCUACCAAAAAUGAUCAGAUUUCUUCUUUCUCUUCUCUCACUGAAAGAUUCAGUCCAAAAGCAAUUAGGUGAGGCCAAGCAAUGUAGGUAUUUGUGUUGGAGGAGCUAGGGUGACCCUGCGUUACGUGAUGUCAGAGCUUGAGCAGGGUGAGCAGAGCAGCC